UGUGCAGUGGGCAAGGGCGGACUGUAAGUCCGUCGCGAAAGCUUCACAGGUUCGAAUCCUGUACCUGCCA
rnacentral:tRNA from 1 species